GGAAGUGAGGGCAAACUGGCUGUGGCAUCUGUUGAGGGAGCUGAUCUGGCUGGCUAGGCAUGUGUUCCCUUCCUCCCUCACCACUCUACGUGCAUCCCUCCUGCAGCUACGACCUUCACUGAUGGAAGAAGUCUGUUCUGUUAAGGGUCUGUCAGUAGCUGUGCUCCCUGCUACAAUUUCCAAACAAGCUCCCAACGUCCAUUUAUAGGAUAAUGUAGGGUAGUCAAGCUUCCCAAACUCCAGACAUCCCUAAAUGAGGUGUUGUAUGUGGCAGUCUUCUUUUCUU
rnacentral:snRNA from 1 species